UUGCUCCACAAAUGUUGUUGAAUUUAUCGUUGACAUAGAUAUGGGGAGAGUAAAUGACGAUCUAUGUGAUCUUUUCUGCAGGAUUCUGUUUUCGCUUUGGUUGAGACAUGAGUUCAAGAUUGAACGUGACACAUUUUGGAAAGAGAUGACUCUCAUGGAGGGUUGUCUGAAGAAGAGGCAACGUUUUCUCUCCUGGGAUGGGCGCAGAGACGAGUUUUGCAUUUGUGUGGAUUACGGAGGAUUGUGACCUUAUAUUUAUAGAGGACAGCCAUGCGUGGGUUGGUCAAGCUGAUCAUGGGGUAGAGGUGGAAGCAAUUGGGGAGGAGGAGCGAGCUUGUACAGCUAGAGACAAAUAAGUCGUUGAGGAAAAAGGAGCACUGAGGACCUGGGAAGCAAGGAGGAGCAGGACGACACCAACAGAUUCAUGGAUCAGCCAACAAGCGCCAGUCAUUCAGGCAACGACUGGUCACCCUCUAGACAUGCAUUUUUAGCAUUUACUUAUUCAUGUAUAAGUUAGCUUUCAUGUGCAUCAUGCAUAUUGAAUGAAUAUGGUCAGUCUCACGGCUUAUUGUGUGAGACAUGCAUUCUAUCAUUUUAAUAAAGAUUACAUUCUUUCUGAAAGACUUGCCUAAUCUUUCUAUGCUUCGUACAUUUAUA